rnacentral:rRNA from 1 species
ACGGAAGGCAGCAGUGGGGAAUAUUGCACAAUGGGCGCAAGCCUGAUGCAGCGAUGCCGCGUGAGGGAAGAAGGUUUUCGGAUUGUAAACCUCUGUCAUCAGGGACGAAAAUGACGGUACCUGAGAAGGAAGCUCCGGCUAACUACGUGCCAGCAGCCGCGGUAAUACGUAGGGAGCGAGCGUUAUCCGGAAUUACUGGGUGUAAAGGGAGCGUAGGCGGGACUGUAAGUCAGAUGUGAAAUAUGCCGGCUCAAUUGGCAGACUGCAUUUGAAACUGCGGUUCUUGAGUGAAGUAGAGGUAAGCGGAAUUCCUAGUGUAGCGGUGAAAUGCGUAGAUAUUAGGAGGAACAUCAGUGGCGAAGGCGGCUUACUGGGCUUUAACUGACGCUGAGGCUCGAAAGCGUGGGGAGCAAACAGGAUUAGAUACCCUGGUA